AUGGCUGAAGACGGCCUCCAACCGCCAGGCCAAAAGCAGCCACCCUUUGUUCGCAUGCGCGUCUCCUUCCUGUGUCACCUAGUAUGUAAACAUACACACAGGAUCUUUAUAAGAGCAAAAGCUACAAAAUGGAAAUCUUCCUACUUCUCCAUGACGACAUGGAUGACAUCGCCAUGCGUGCACGCUCCAACCUCUCCCCUAUCGCAGCCCCACCACUCGUUGCCGAUGCACUCCAACCCGAGGACCUCCAUGAUGGAGGUCGCCUCUCAGCCUAGCGACGAGUGUUUGUUGGUUUCUCUUUCAUUUACGGACAUCUUGGGCUUGUUGGGUACAGAAUCAAGAAGCCCAAUCAUCAUCAGGGAUGAAAAAAGGAGAGAAGCACGGGAAGAGGUACUAGUAGAAGAGGAAGAAAUGCACCAUAAUGGAUCUAGGAAGUAUGAAUGGUUAAUACCUCAAUGGUGCACUGUGCAUCUUUGGCAGGUUUUUAUGCAUUUUUAA
rnacentral:rRNA from 1 species